CUCUCAGCCGACACCCCUGCUCUCUCCCACAUCCUCUUCUCCGGCUCCGGUAACCGGAGCAACGCCGUCCACCUUCAUCACCUCGAUAUCCGGCCGCACCCCCACACACCCAAACCACCACCGAUUGAUCCAUUUUUUUGUCUCUCCAUCUCGAUGAUGAAACAGAGUGUCGCCGAUGAUGAAGUAGACGACGAAAUCAAGCUUCGACAGUGGUUUUUCAGAUCCGAAUCGAAGAAAAAACGGAUCGAAAUCAUAUGUUGUGGAAGAGAGUGAUGAAGAAGUUGAACAUCCUCAAGAAGAAGAGGAUGAGAUAGAAGAAUCUGACAUUGAAUUUGAAGGUGAAACUGUAGAACCUAAUAAUGAUCCUCCACAAAAGAUGGGAGAUUCUUCAGUGGAGGUCACUGAAGACGACCGUGAUGCUUCCCAAGAUGCAAAAGCAAAGGCAAUGGAAGCAAUUUAUGAUGGAGAUGUCGUUAAUGAGAAAAGUGGAGAUGGAAGGUCGACAAG